AGUGAACGCUGGCGGUAGGCCUAACACAUGCAAGUCGAACGGCAGCACAGUAAGAGCUUGCUCUUACGGGUGGCGAGUGGCGGACGGGUGAGGAAUACAUCGGAAUCUUCUUUUUCGUGGGGGAUAACGUAGGGAAACUUACGCUAAUACCGCAUACGACCUACGGGUGAAAGCAGGGGAUCUUCGGACCUUGCGCGAUUGAAUGAGCCGAUGUCGGAUUAGCUAGUUGGCGGGGUAAAGGCCCACCAAGGCGACGAUCCGUAGCUGGUCUGAGAGGAUGAUCAGCCACACUGGAACUGAGACACGGUCCAGACUCCUACGGGAGGCAGCAGUGGGGAAUAUUGGACAAUGGGCGCAAGCCUGAUCCAGCCAUGCCGCGUGUGUGAAGAAGGUCUUCGGAUUGUAAAGCACUUUAAGUUGGGAGGAAGGGCAGUAAGUUAAUACCUUGCUGUUUUGACGUUACCAACAGAAUAAGCACCGGCUAACUUCGUG
rnacentral:rRNA from 1 species